rnacentral:misc_RNA from 1 species
AAGUCGUAACAAGGUAUCCGUAGGUGAACCUGCGGAUGGAUCAUUACUAAAUCUUGAAUGUUUAAAUUGCAAUUCACGUUGCAUUUCAUUCGAUUCAAAUCUCAUCAUUGUGAACUGUUCGGUGUUCUGACUUGAAUGUUUGCGUUCAUUCAGACACUGCUUUUUAAUUAAAACUCAAUUUGGAUAAAAAUCUAAAAAUCUUAAAACUUUUAGCAACGGAUCUCUAGGCUCUC